GAUUGUGGCACCGUGGGCUGCUUGUCUCCCGCUGUGUCGUGAGAAGUUCAUUGAACCUUAUCAUUUAGAGGAAGGAGAAGUCGUAACAAGGUUUCCGUAGGUGAACCUGCGGAAGGAUCAUUG
rnacentral:rRNA from 1 species